GAUGAAGAACGUAGCGAAAUGCGAUACGUAAUGUGAAUUGCAGAAUUCAGUGAAUCAUCGAAUCUUUGAACGCAUAUCGCGCUCUCUGGUAUUCCGGAGAGCAUGCUUGUUUGAGUAUCAGUAAACACCUCAACUUCCAUAUCUUUUUUGAAAUGGGAGUUGGACUUGAGUGAUCCCAACGCUUUUCCUCACCGAAAAGUGGCGGGUUACUUGAAAUGCAGGUGCAGCUGGACUUUUCUCUGAGCUAUAAGCAUAUCUAUUUAGUCUGCCUAAAAAACAGAUUAUUACCUUUGCUGCAGCUAACAUAAAGGAGAUUAGUUCUUGUGCUGACUGAUGCAGGAUUCACAAAGACAGGCUUCGGCCGACUUUGUAAACUCGAUCUCAAAUCAAGUAAGACUACCCGCUGAACUUAAGCAUAUCAAUAAGCGGAGGA
rnacentral:misc_RNA from 1 species